CAAGGAAUUUUCCCCAAUGGGCGCAAGCCUGAGGGAGCAACGCCGCGUGCCGGACGACGGCCUUCGGGUUGUAAACGGCUUUUGGGGGCGACGAUGAUGACGGUAGCCUCCGAAUAAGCCCCGGCUAACUCUGUGCCAGCAGCCGCGGUAAUACAGAGGGGGCAAGCGUUGUCCGGACUGACUGGGCGUAAAGCGCGCGCAGGCGGUCGCGGGCGUCGGUGCUGAAAGGGCGCCGCUUAACGGCGCGAAGGGUGCCGAUACGCCGCGACUGGAGCGAUGGCGAGGGUGGUGGAAUUGCCGGUGUAGUGGUGAAAUGCGUAGAGAUCGGCAGGAACACCCGUGGCGCAAGCGGCCACCUAGCCGUCGGCUGACGCUGAGGCGCGACAGCGUGGGGAGCGAACCG
rnacentral:rRNA from 1 species